rnacentral:piRNA from 1 species
UGGUGCAAAUGCCUCAGCCACAUUCC